UCGUCAGCUCGUGUCGUGAGAUGUUGGGUUAAGUCCCGCAACGAGCGCAACCCUUAUUGUUAGUUACCAGCACGUAAUGGUGGGGACUUUAGCAAGACUGCCAGUGAUAAAUUGGAGGAAGGUGGGGACGACGUCAAAUCAUCAUGCCCCUUAUGACCUGGGCUACAAACGUGAUACAAUGGCUGUUACAAAGGGUAGCUGAAGCGCAAGUUUUUGGCGAAUCUCAAAAAAACAGUCUCAGUUCGGAUUGAAGUCUGCAACUCGACUUCAUGAAGUUGGAAUCGCUAGUAAUCGCGAAUCAGCAUGUCGCGGUGAAUACGUUCUCGGGGUUUGUACACACCGCCCGUCAAACCACGAAAGUUGGCAAUACCCAAAGCCGGUGGCCUAACUUCGCAAGAAGAGGGAACC
rnacentral:rRNA from 1 species